GCCGGGAGAUGGACAAUCGCGUGUCGCUGAGGGGUUCUGGGUGUUGCUGCGGGAGAGGGCUGGGGGGUGAUGCGCGCGCGCGUGCGUGUGUCUGUAUGUGUGUAUUCAAGGGAAGGAAGACCGCAAAGGUGUCCACACCUGCCUGUCUUGGAUCCUACCAGCCCCUCCUCCCCUGGCGAAGAGAAGACUGCUUCCCCUGGAGCCUCUUCCCUAACCCCCCCACUGCUUUCACCGCCAGCGGCGACCUUUGAAUUGCCCUGUUAUUGUUUACAAACACCUUCGCCAGCUCUUUUAGGGCCUGUCUCCACAGGAAGUGUGAAUCUGAGUUGAAAAUCUUCUGGUUAAUUUGAUCCACCUAACCAACUGAAUCACCCGCCGCCAGGCGCUCUGUCCAACUCUUCCGGAAAAAGGUAGUAAUCAGCACCCCUAAAUUUACGCAGUGCGCGCGGUGUGCCACCACCCGCUUUUCGCCUCGUCAUCCCGGUCAGCCCUCCCAAUCAUCCUCCCGGGGAGUUCUGUUAUCAUCCCUGUGUCAUAAGUGAGGAAACCAAGGCUCAGGGAGGUUAAUUAGCUUGCCCCAGGGUCACAGAGAGCGUGAGUGAUGAAGCCAGGCAACCUCUGGGCUGCUCAGUUUUUUUCUCAAAACCCUUCCGUUGCCACCGGAACCCGGGCUCCCUAGAGGUCCAAGACAGACUCUGGGAGCCCUCCUCUCUCCAUCUGCUCUGUUUCAGUCUCAGCUUCAUUCCCUCCUAUACCCCUGCCAGUCAGGACCCUCCCUGGUGUCCACCCAUCUUGGUCCUGCUAUUCUUGACCUGGAUGAAGUUCUUUCCUCUGCCCCUAGGACGCUCCCUCCCCCACUUUUCCUGUAGGCUGGUCCAUCUGUGCUGGCCUACACUUCUUCUUCAGACACACCCUACCCACCUGUCCUUACCCUCUCCCCAGCCGCCUUUCUCCUCUACUCCCACGGUUCUGUGUGCCACUCCUGAGCCCUGGCCACACUGGGCCUCCCAACAUCUGCAUGUGGGGGACUCGGGACCCUAUCCCCUGGGAGAGUGAAGGCCGAGUCCUACCCCCAGUAAGGUCCUUUCCUCCCCUCACCAUGGAGUUUACAAGCCCCAGAUCUGCUGGAGAGACCAGGGACGAGAAAACGUUUUAAGUUCAAAGAGCUAUUUACUAGCCAGGGACAUUGUUAAUAUUUAAUGAAGUCCUCCCCAAAGAUGCGUGUCUGUGUGUGUGAUUUACUCAGAAGCCAAAUAUUGCAUUACAAAUAAUGAUCGGCUCUGAGACAAAUGAGAACAUAAGUCUUUUGUGCCAAGCUAAGGGGUAUUUGGCCAUCCAAAGACCAUCUCACAAAGAGAAGCUAAGGCCAAUAUGUCACUGUCCCAACUAGAUACACUUGGUAAAAAUUUUAGAACUAAAAAGGAAGGGAGAAGAAGAGGUCCCAGGUGGUCUUACCCCAUGGAUGGAAUUCUUCUUGGAGACACUUGGUGGAGGUAUGAGAGUAGGCAUAUGCCCUCUGGGAUUGCAAAAUCAGGGGAAAGUUCAUAUGGUAGAGUCCUAUCUUUCAGGGACGUUUUGGGAGGGGGAGUACCUGACAAAAUGCUUGACAAACAUUCUUGAGAUGGUUACAGAAAGGGGCCCGCUCAAGGCCGCUAGAGUCAAGCAAGUACAUCUUGGAGUGGAUAAACCUGCUGUAGACCUAAAUGGGCCCCUGUGACUCCUCACCUCUGUGUCCCAGAGCAACAGGAAGGGGGAGGGAUCCCAAAACCUGGAGGGGGCUGAAAUGUACACACAUUUCUUCUUUCUUUUCCUCUUCCUCUUCUCCUCUCUCCUCCUCUCUGUAAGAAGGUUGGAGGGCAGGGCCUCUCAGGCAAGGCAGAGCCAGAGGCCUCAGUGAAGCCUGCCUGAGCUGGUUGCCACACUGGCUGUGCAGGGUAGUUGGGUGAAAGAUGUACCAGGGGCAGGUGUGCAUAGGUGGGCACUGGGUUGGCUAGGCUGCUGGUACAUAAAUCUUCCCAUAUGGGAGGGGAGGAGAGGCUCUUCUAGUGAGCGAGCCAGUGCUUUCUUCCUCCCAGCUUUGUCCGUCUCCACCCAUCUUUUCCCCUUCUCUCUUACCCUCUCCCCCUGCAGGUAAUGAUUCUUCUCAGGUGACAGCAUGGCUGGCUGGGUCUGGAAUCCUGCCCAGGAAAGAUGCAGAGGUGACCCGAUUCUCAGAGUAAGUCAGUUUUGAUGCCUUUGCUCUGGAAAGUUCAGCUCCUAGGGGUGUGGCUGCAUCAUAGGUGUGGACAGGGCUUAGCAAGGGAUCCUCCUUAGCCUAGACCUGGACUUGGGGCUGGGUCUGUGCCUGUGAUAUGGCCUCAAUCUGGCAUUGUGUCCCACUGUACCAAAUGGGAACAUGAGGGGAAGAGAAUGGUCUCCUCAUUGCCCAAAUGGUUGAUUGGUAGAGGCGGGGCUCCAGGGCCCUGGUGGCAACAUCAAAGGAAGGCUCUGUUAGUUGUGAAAUUCUCCCUUCCAGCCUCCCCUGGACACUUCCUUUGACAGGUUAGGGGAAACAGGAAGCCCACCAGAAUCUGGAGCAGAUAGUAAAUUCACAGGAAGAACCUAGAUGUUGGAAUGGAAGUUCCAAUGCUCCAGUUCCAAGAGCCAAGCUAAGGGCCUUCUUCUCUUUGUUCUGCAUUCCCCCUUCUCCAUGUCCUCCUCCAUCCAGGUUUUCCCCCCAAUCCUCUCCUACCACUCACUUCCCUUCCACUCCAGGUCCAGAAUCUCCAUCAGGCAGGGGUGCCUUAUAGAGUCUUUGUGUUUGGGUGGUUAAUUCCUCCAGAGAGGGAGUAUCUUUGAAAUUAAGUCCCACAAUGGUUGAGGUUAAGAGAGUGCUGUCCUAAAAAAUGAAGGAGCCCUGACUUUCCAGACUACACAUACCACUUGGGCCCCUAGCCUUCCUCUGUGCCACUUCUGAGGUUCGUGCAGGCCCAAGGCUGGGAUGAUUUGUGCAGGCCGUAAGCUCCCAUUUCUUCCCCCUACGUUGGGGGCUAUAAUCGCCCAGAGCCUCCCAGUCCCCAGUCCUUCAAGGAAAAUGUGUCUAGUGGAUAUAGGUGAGUAAAUAGGUAAAUUGCAGGAGUGUACCCUUCAGUUUAUUCUUACCUGGGCAGCUGUCAGGCUGGGACUGGGGAUCUAAGAACUGACACACUCAAGGCAGUAAAGAAAGGAAGGUCAUUCUGAAAUAUCAAUGUGCCCCCAAAUACCUGCCUUUUCUGCAAGGCUACCUUGUACCGAGUGGAUACUGUUUUAGUGGAUGUGCCACUGCUCCUUGGAAAGACCCUCUCUGUUAUUGGCAAGAGGCUGCAGAGCAUGUGAAGAGGCCGGCCCCUCAGUUUGCAGGGUCCUUGUAGAAGACCCCAAGGUAGGCUUCUGUGGCCUUUGGGGCAGGGCCAAUACGAUGAAAGAGUGCCCCCUAGUGAUCCUCAUCCCCAACUGCUUGAGUUAGCUACUCCCAGGGCUCCGGAGAGGAGUCUUGGAUCCCUGAGGAGGGUCGAGGGGGGCAUGUUUGGGACAGGGUUUCAUACAAGGGACAGAUGUCUCUCAGGCUCCUCGAAUGGAUUAAUGGCUCAGUUGUGUUUCUGAGCUUUCCUCCUAUUUCAGCCUCUCCUGGGCUUUCACACAGUCUUUAAAGAGAUAUCAUCUUUAACACAAACAACCUUAAAAUAAUUGACAAUGGGAAAAGACUUGGCAUUUACUCACCUAUUCAUGAUCCAUGCAUUUCUUUUUGUAUCUCAUGUAUUCACUGAACAAAUAUUUUCUGAGCACCUGCUCUGAGCCAGGCCCUCGAAUGGAAGGUGUCCAACCUUGCAGACUCACAGGUCACUGAGUGCAGGGGAGAAAGAGGGUAGUACACUAGAGAGUGGAGAGUUCCAUCUUUAAAGAAGGGAGUAUGCACACAGGGAGGGUGUCAUGGUAGGCAUCCUGGAGGAGGUGCUUCUCAAGCUGAAGGCCAAGAUGGACUGUGAGGUGUCUUCCUCAUGCUGGCAUAUGAGGAACCUGCACUAGAAGCACAGACUCCUUGGUUCACUAAAACAGAAGCAGAAAACGUUGAGCCACUGACCUCCAGCCACCCAUAUGUCCUUCUCCAGGAGUAAUCCUGAGAGGGAGGGAUUAUAAAGGGACACUUUGUGGUAUAUAUAUAUAUAUAUAUAUAUAUAUAUAUACACACACACACACAUAUAUAUAUAUAAUAUGUAUUAUAUAUAUAUGAUAUAUGUACAUGCCAAAACAUCAAAUUAUGUACUUUAUUUUUUUAAGUUUAUUUAUUUAUUUUGAGAGGGAGAGGUGGGGAGGGGCAGUGAGAGAGAAUCCCAAGCAGAUGGUGCACUGUCGGUGCAGAGCCCGAUGUGGACUCAAACUCACAAACUGUGAGAUCAUGACCAGAGUGGAAACCAAGAGUCAGACACUUAACCGACUGAGCCACCCAGGUGUCCCUAGAUUGUGUACUUUAAAUAAGAGCAGUUUGUUAUUGUAACUAUACCUCGAUAAGAAAGAAAAAAAAUUAAAAAGUCAGAUAGCACUAUAAUGUAAAAAUAGUGCCCUGUUCCACUUUUUCCUCAUCAAGUUCCAUUCCCAAGAGACAACCACUUUUAAGUCUUACAUGUUCUAUCAUUUAAACUUAAAUUAAAACAAAUGGACUUCUUUAUUUCCUGGUGUUUCUGUUUUAGGUAUUAUCUACCUAUUUCCUACUACAAAAGGUUAGGAUAUAGCUCUCUUAUGUACCACUCAAGGUUAGGCUAUAGCUCUCUUAUGUAACACACACACACACACACACACACACACACACACACACACUUCUCUUCCCUCAUUCUCUUGAUGUGUCUACCUGCCACGUUUUGGUUAAAUUACUAUUCAGUGUUUAUAUUAUUAUGACUAUGUAUAUGGUAUUAAUAGCUGAAUCAUAUACUAUGCCAUGUUUCUUAUUUAACUUUUGUUUUUAUUGCAGUUAAAUGUCUACCUCAUUUUUCAUCUUCUAGGUGUGCUGUUUAUUUAGCAUUGACUUGUGCCCAAACGGACAGACAGAAUCCUAAAAUUCCAUUCCGUGCGUGUCAUAGGCCCACUGGUGUGCUAUCAGGUCCAGUUUGAUCUGUGGCAUCCCUUUGGGGGAGUUGGGAUGGGUUGUUGUCUGGUCGCACCAAACAGCUUUCAUCUUGAGACCUUCCUCUGUCUCCAUUGAUGGUCCUUCCCCCACUUUGCUUCCCUGUUUCCCAGAUUCCUUGUCUUUGUCUUCUGGUAGCUUCCUAGGAAUGGAUCUGUGGGAGGCAAAAAAUCUUUCAUGUCUUAAUAUCUCUUCAUUGUACUCUUCUGAAGGACUGAUACUUGGCUGGGUAUAAAACCCUAGGUUACAAAUAAUUUAAUAAUUUUCUUCUGUGUUUGAAAAGGUUGCCUCAUUGCCUUCUUACUUCCAUUGUUGCCGUGGAAAACAAUGAUGUGAUUCUGAUUGCUGAUCCCUGGAUUUAAAAUGUUUUCUGUUUCUUUGAGGAUUAAAGCUUUGAGGAUUUUUUCGACACGUCUGAUGUUCUGAAAUCUCCCAGUGUUGUGCCUUGAUAUGAUUUUGUCCUUUGUUUUGCGUGCUUUGUGGACCCAUUGGUCUGGCACUUCAUGUCCCUAAGUGCUGAGAAGUUUCCCAUACGCUUCUGUUGUUACUCUUCUCCAAUUUAACUGUUCUCUUUUCCGGAACUCCAGUUAUUUGGAUGUUAGAGCUCCCAAAAUGAUUCUCUAAAUUUUAAACAACUCCCUCCCACCACUGCCGUUACCUUUUAUUUUUCUGGGAAAUUUCAACCCUUCUAUAUUUUUGUUAUCAGUUUUAAUUUUCAAGAGCUGGUUUUAAUCCAGCGUUCCCUUUUAUAACAUCAUCUUCUUGUUUCAUGAAUUAUCUUCUUGUAUCCCCCCCGGGAGUAGUAAUUACAAUGAAAAUUGUUUUCUUAUUCCAAUCUCCACAUUAUCUCUGUUUCCUUGGAGUUCAUUUUUUCUGUUUGUUUGUUUUGGUCUCUGUUUUUCGUAGUUAAGGCUUCCCCAAAUGACUUUGAUUCUUGGCUGUCUGGUCCUAUUUAAGAAGGAGGCAUUUAACAGCUGAUGAAGGCCCCAUGUGGAUGCAGAGCUGGGCUUUUGGAGGGUCUCACAGAGAAACGAUGGAAUAAGGUUCUGGCUGUGAUGAUGGGGACCCCCAAAUAGUAGAGUAUGUAGAUCAUUUCCCUUGGGCCAGUCAGCUUCCCAGUGAAGGACCCUCCAAAUCUCCUGCCUGGAGGCUGAAAGCCUGGCAGCCAGUGUUUGGACAGCGGAACAGGAAGCAGAGGGGGUUGGGAAAAGUGGGCUAUGCCAGACCCCUCCCCUCUCAGUCUCUCCACUCUGGCAGCAGGGAUGGAGGGAGGAGAGUGGUACAGAAUGAGGUGCUGAUCUUCUCAUGUGGCAAAGGAGGGGAUCUCCUCUUCAUAAAGCUGUCAGACAGCUCACCUGGUUUCAGCCUCACCCUUGCCCCUGUCUUGUGUGUCCAGUGGCUUCAUUUGCUAAGAUUGUUUGAGGCUCUGCUGAGGUUGCUUCUUCCCCCUCCCAGACACUCGGCUGUGGGGAGAAAGCUAUAACCUCAUCUGUCUGCAUUCCAUUUUCCAGAAUUUUGUUGAGAUCCCUCUCCUGCUUGCUCUCUCCUCUCCUGAUUUCUUUUGCUACGGUUAGGUUUUUUCCUUUCAUCUCUUUCCCACCCAGUAGGCAGAUUUGGGGCAGAAGCAGGAUAAUGGUACUGCUCUCUCCUCCGCAUUUGGUUGGACUCAGCCUCCUCUUGAUUUUUCUCACUGAGGUGGCUCAUUCCAGACCUUGUCAGGACUGGUGCGGGCACUUGGGGCAGGAAGCUGGCAAGCUCAGGGUUGUUGGGCUGGUUCUACGACUCCAGGGCCUGCUGUGCACUGGGUUCCCAAACAUCCGCCAAGGAUAAGCCAGGGAUAGGGGUGCUUCUGUGACAGCUUGGAUGACACGUGGGACUCUGCUACCUUGGUACCACAGGGCUGCCACCAAGACUUGGCAAAGGGUGACUUGAGGCUUUUUAAACUUGAGGGGACUUAGAGGUCCAGAGGCUGAGCUGGGGUUCCAGGAGGCAUGUGGUAUUCCCUGUAGAUGUCACCUUGCUUGGGGGUGCCUGGGUGGCUCAGCUGGUUAAGUGUCCGACUCUUGAUCUUGGCUCAUGUCAUGAUCUCACAGUUCGUGAGUUUGACCUCUGUUCUUGCGGUACAUUGGGCUCUGUUCUUACAGUACGGACCCUGCUUGGGAUUUUGUGUCUCCCUCUCUCUCUGCCCCUCCCCAGCUGCCGCUCUCUCUCUCUCACUCUCUCUCAAAAUAAAUAAAUAAACUUAAAAAAAAAUAGUUGCCACCUUGCCUUCACCAAACCCAGUAUCCAGGAGAAGGCUGGCCCAGAGUUGUCCUUGCUUCCACUUUAAGAAAAAAAAUUUUUAAUGUUUAUUUUUGAGAGACAGAGAGAUAGAGAGAGUGAGCAGGGGAGGGGCUCCCUCCCAGAGGGAGACACAGAAUCCAAAGCAGGCUCCAGGGUCUGAGCUGUCAACACCGAGCCUGAUGCAGGGCUCAAACUCACCGAGGGUGAGAUCAUGACCUGAGCCAAAGUCAGUUGCUUAACUGACUGAGCCACCCAGGCACCCCACUUGCUUCCACUCUCGCCCAUUUCCUCUAGGUGCAUUCAUAGGAGAGGAUGGCUGGGAGAACGCUGCUGCUCCCAGGCCCACCUUGACUGCCUCCUAAGGGCAGAGCGCUUGGCCUUUCAGCAGCAUUGAACUGUUGUGUUGUUUGACUGGGCAGGAUACUGGAGUCACUUGGGAGACAUCAUAAUGUCUGACUUAUUUUGUGCAGAGGCUCUCAGGGUAUGCUGUGUGCUGGCCUUGUGAAGUGUUCCUCAAAACCUGAGGUCAGAUAUGCUAGAGAGACUCCAUAAACAGUGUUCCUUUCUUAGAGGUUCACAAUGGUGUCAACCUAUAUGAAGAGUCUAAAAUUCCCUGCAGGAAAGAAACUGUAUAUUUUGUUUAAGGCACCCACAUAAGUGAAGACAGGCUGAAACAAAGUAGACUGAUCUCAGGAGGUAUCAGGUAUGGGCAAAUCACAAUGUAGAGUCUAACGUCCUAGUGGAGAAUCUGAGAGCUCCAGAGUUGGAGACUGAGACAACGCAUCCCACAUUUAGGGGAGCCCUUGCCGAAAGUCUGUCGGAAGUCCAGUGGGUCUUGACCACCUGGCCUGCUUUUUCAGAUUCUGUUUGACAAACUCUUCCCAACCCCAUCCCAGAUCCAAUGUGACUGGUGCUGGAAAAGACAUGAAAUCCAGCACUGGGACAAAGGAGUGACCCUAGAGAGGCACAAGAGGAGUUUCCUCUGAGGUCAGAGGAAACAUUGGUACGUUGGCUGCAGGGAGGAAAGGGUAGGAAGAGAGAGAGGCAGAGACCUCCCAUAAAUUCUCCCUAAGAGAGCUAUGUACCCUGUACAUUUCAGACCCUUCCCUUUGGGUCAAGGGUCCUGUAAAAGUGCUGCCAAGAAAUCCACUUCAUCUCCAUGAGGAACAACUGGCCAAAGGGGGAAGGUCCAGGGUAGUGGUAGGGAUGGGGGAAUGGGGUGGAGGGGUGGUGCUUCCCAAUAUGGUGGAGGUAAAGGCAGAGCCCUUUGUCUCUGCAGCUGUGAAGCCCUAAUGCUGAGACUUGGCCAACGGUCCCUUGCACGCACCUAUGCUGCCCCUGCCCCCAGGACCCAUGAAACCCCUGUCAAUGCCACAGUCAAGAGGACGAAGGACAGGCUCAGCCAGGCCCUCCAAGGUGGAAGGGGGAGGCAAGUCUUCCACCCUAUCUCCUUCCUUUCCUUCCACACUAUCUUCAAGCCCUGAUCUUCCUGCAUGUCACCCUGAUGGGCAUUUCCUGGAGAUGGAAGGGUGGGCCUGUGAGGUGCUGAUGGCAGCAGCUCAAGAAGCCUCCCUCCAUACCCACUGGCUUUACUACCUUGGGCAGAAAGAUAAGCUUCCCUCUCCUUGUAUGUAAAAUGAGCAUCAUAACAGAACCCACUUCAUACAGAGGGCUGUUGGGAGCAUGAAUGGAACCUUCCUUCUAAUGGCAUCCAGGACAUGCACGAUAAUUAUCCUCUCUGCUGAGAAGUCUCUAAAUUCUCACCUUACACCACUCAGCAGUGGGACCUCCCACAAGCCAGGUUCCCCCUUGCUAAGACUCAAAGGCAGUUCUUCAGCAAGCAACACCCUUGGCCAAAGCCAUUCAUGAGGGCAAGUUGUAUCCUUCCCAACUCCUUCCUCUUACCUUGGCAAGAGCUGAUUGAAACAUUUUGCCUUGUCAUUUAUCGCCUACUCACUCCUUUGAGGUCUUUAUCAAAUAUCAUCUUCCAGUAUGACCUCCCUGAUCAUACUGAAUAAUCAUUAUUUAAAUUGCAAUCUACCCCAUUCUCUGUUCUCUUCUUUCCACUUUUUUCCUCCAUCAGCUUUUUACCAUUCUACAUGCAAUUUGUCUCACUUAUGUAUUUGCUUAUUUUUUGUCUCCCUCACUAGCAUGUAAACUGUGCUAGGCAGGGGAGUUCUGUAUUUUGUUUCUUGCUGUCUCCCUGAUGGCUAGAGCAAUGUUCGGUGCAUAGUGGGUGCUGUAUAACUAUUGUUGACUGAAUAGAAUAAACUAAUGGACACUUGUUCUUGCCAUGGCAAGACCCAUAUUGUUUUAUAAUUGUUGGCUGCCUACAAGAAACCCCCCUCCCAACCCAUUUAAGUUGUUUAUAAAGUAUUAUAGCAAUAUCCUUUUGGUUGUGAGAUGGGCACUUAGGGGUAUUUGUGUGACUGGUCCCAAUCCAUUAAAUCCCCCUGAGGUCUAAUUGGUCUAAGUGGGCUCUGCUCUUAGAGUGAGUCACACUGUGCUCUUUAGAGGUUUUACAUGGUGCACGAUCCAGUGGGUUUAAUUGGUUUAAGGUUAGUAUCUGACACUGAGUGAGUUUGGCAGAUGUAAUGUCCUAAAACUUGUGUAUCAGAGAUUGUGCUUAAGCAUGAGUAUUAGACACAACACAGAGUGACUUAAAGUUAAGUUUAUUUUAUUUUUAUUGAAGUAUAGUUAAAAUACAGUGUUACACUGAUUUCAGGUAUAUGGCACUCACAGUGAUAUGACAGUUCUAUGCUCACCAUGGCAAGUGUAGUCACCAUCUGUCGCCACACAACAUUGUUACAAUAUUAUUGAUUAUAUUCCCUAUGCUGUGCUUUUCAUCCAUGUGGCUUAUUUAUUUUAGAACUGGAGGUUUGUACCUCUUAAUCCCCUUCACCUAUUUCACCUGUCCCUCCAACCUGUUCCCCUUUGGCAACCACCAGUCUGUUUUAUGAUUUUGUUUCUGUUCUUUGCUUGUUUGUUUGUUUAGAUCCCGCAUGUAAGUGGAAUCAUAUGGUAUUUGUCUUUCUCUGUCUGGCUUAUUUCACUUAGCAUAGUACCCUCUAGGUCUGUCCAUGUUGUCACAAAUGACAAGAUCUUAUUCUUUCUUAUGGCUGUGUAAUAUUCCAGUGUGUGUGUGUGUGUGUGUGUGUGUGUGUGUGUGUGUGUAUGAGUGUGUGAGAGAUAUCUUUAUCCACUCAUCUAUGGAUGGAUACUUGGGAUGCUUCUACAACUUAGCUAUUGUUAAUAAUGCUGCAAUAAACAUAGGGGUGCAUAAUAUCUUUUCGAAUUAGUGUUUUCGUUUUCUUUAGGGAAAUACUCAAUGGCGAAAUUACUGGAUCCCAUGGUACUUUUCAUUUUUUUGAGGAACCUCUCUACUGUUUUCCACAGUGACUGUGCCAAUUUACAUUCCCACCAACAAAGAGUGCAUGAGGGUUCCCUUUCCUGCACAGAAACAGAUACAUCGAUCAAUUGAACAGAAUAGAGACCCCAGAAAUAGACUCAUGCAUAUAUGGUCAAUUAAUCUAAUGCAAGGGAGGCAAGAAUAUGCAAUGGAAAAAAUACAGUUUCUUCAACAAAUGGUGUUGGGAAAACUGGACAACCACAUGCAAAAGAAUGAAACGGAACCACUAUCUUAUGCCAUACACAAAAAUAAACUCAAAAUGGAUUAAAUACCUAAAUAUGAGACCUGAAACCAUAAAACUUUUGGGAAAAAAACAUAGGUAGCAAUUUCUUGGAUAUUGGCCUUAGCAGUAUUUUUUCUAGGUAUGUGUCCUUAGGCAAGGGAAACAAGAGCAAAAAUAAGCUUUUGGAACUACACCCGAGUAAGGGGGUUUGCACAGCAAAGGAAACCAUUGACAAAAUGCAAAGACAAUGUACUGAAUGGGAGAAGUUAGGGAUUUACUUUUCUUCCACAAAGCAUGAAAUCUGGAGGUGGGUCACCUAGGGCUGGUAUGGUAGCUCCCAGCAUCUUCUGUGUCCCAGGCUCCUUUUAAUCUUUCUGCUCCUUCGUCCUUUGGCCACAGCUUCUGGGCUCAGCCUCAUGGUUGCAGGAUGACCACUGCGGCUCCAGCUAUCAAGUCAAUCUCCCAACUAUUAAGAGGGUUAAGAUUAAGAGGAGCAGGCAAGAGGGUGCACGCCGCCUGAGUCAGUCAGCCUUCCUUGAAACGAAUCCAGGCUGACAUCCUUUGAUUUUAAUUGGAACACUUAACCUAUGUAUAUUUAAUGAAAUUACUAACAUAUUUGGGUUUAAAUCCAUCAUGUCACUGUUUGUCUUUUAUUUGUUUCACUUGUUUUAUAUUCCCUUUUUCCUUUCUUACUUUAUAAGUACUUGUUAUUCUUCCAUUCCAUUUAGCUUAUUAGUUAUAUAAUCUUUUAUUAUUGUUUUCAGUGGUCACCCUAGAGAUUACAAAAUGUCCUUCCUCCUGACUUAUUAAAGUUUAAUAUAAAUUACUACUUUUACCACUUCCAGGACAAUGCAAAGAUUUUAGAACACGUUAGCUCCAUGACUCCCCUCCCAUCUUUGUGCUCUUGUUGUCCUGACUUUUAAUUCCACGUAUAUUUUAAACCUCACAAGACAUUAUUAUUAUUUUCUUAUAUGUCAUCGAUAUUCAUUUAGUUUUGCCCAUAGCUUUACCCUUUUCAUUGCUCUCCAUUACUUUCCUCAUCUCCAUGCAUCCACGUGGGAUCAUUUUCCUCUUGCUCUAGAAGUGUUCCCUGAAUGAGGGUUUGCUGGUAACAAAAGCUUCCCAUUUUUAUUGGUUAGAAAUGUCUUUACGCCGUCUUUCCUCUGUGUCUGGAGAAGCAGAGCACUGUUGGCUGCCCAGGGAAGGCCCAUGUAAAGCCAGGCUGUCCUUUUGGAUAACAUGGACCGGGUGGAAAGUUCACACCCCAUUUCGUGGGUGUGAAAGCGAUCAAGUAAAGCCAGAAUUUGACAGAAGUCAGAGGCAGUCAUUCAUUCAAUCCUGACUUGGGCCAGAGGAUCAGAUCUGGACCUGAUCACAUUUUGGAAGGAGAACUGCUCUUGGCAUCCCCUCUGACAAAUCAGCAUUGUCCAUCAGGCAGCUUGGUGCCAAGGCUUCAGUGUCCAGCCUCCCUCUGAGCAGGCGGCGGGGGAAGGAGAGCCGCUGAGUCUACCCAAACCUCCGCUUUCCCGCAAACAGAAGAACUUUAUCAGGACUACUUGCUUCAUAGGGCAGCUCAAAAAACGUUUUGUAAACUGCUCUCCCCAUACAUUCCUCAGAUAAGCCUGAGUCCUGUGCAGAUGCAAGAGAGUGGUCUUCAGUGCCCCUGGCUCCCACCAACUCUCGGCAGCAAGAGUGGCUCUGGCUGGAUUUCUUAGACCUUGAGAGGGUCAGGCCCAAGGUGAAUUGAUGGCCCCAGGGAGCCCAGAGUGAAUUGGGCAAUUCAAGUCUUCUUCAGAGGGUAUCCCUCUGGGUUGGGGUCUCAGCUGCCCAGCCCCCACAUCCUAUACUCCACACCAAGCAGGAAAGCCACACAGAGGGGAGGACAGGGCAGAGAGGCAUGACACGGUCUCCUUCCUCCCCUCAAAAUCACAAAGUCCCACCUGCCAAGCUGAGUAACUGCCUCUAUCAAGGACAUAGGAAACAAACAAAACAGAAACACAGCUUACUUCUGUCUGGACUCUGAGUUCUCUCUCUCUGGAGCAGGAAGAAAGUUGGAAUGCAUUUCGGGUGGGCUGCCUAUGUUUAGAUAUUUUUCUACAGGCUAAAAAGAGAAGCUGAAAGUUUCUCCUUCUCUAAAUUUUAUUUUGCCGAGCAAAACAAAAACUCAUUCUAGACUGUUCCUCUGUCUGGAACACUUUUCCCCUGGAUGCCCGGGGCUCAUGCUCUCACCACAGAUCUCUGCUCAAAUGCCACCUUCUCAGACCUCUCCAAACACCCAUGUAAAAGGCUACAACCACUGACACCCCACCUCACCAGCCACCUGAAAACCAUUCCUCUUCACUGCUUUAGCUUUUUCUGUCACCAUACUUUAUUUAUCAUCUGCCUCCCCUCACUAGACUGUCACCUACAUGAGGGCAAAGAUGUUUUGUCCUUUCCUAUGCUCCAGGGCCAACAAGAGUGCUUGGCACAUAGUUGGUGUAUGAAUUAUUUAUUGCCUCAUAACAAAUUAGUCCAAAAUGCAGAAGCUUGCAACAACAGCAUUUAUUAUCUUGCAGUGACCGUGGGUCAGGAACAUGGAUGCAGGUGGCUGGAUCCCCCACUCAGCCUCCAUCACAAGACCGCUAUGGUUAUGCUAUCCUCUGAAGACUCAGUGGCAAGGACCGGCUUCAAGCCCACAGCAUUGUUGACAGCCUUCAGUGUCUUGCAAUCUGCUGACUGACCUCAGUUCCUCGCCAGGCUGUUGGCCAAGGUCUGCCCUCCAUUUCCUGGCACUCCAGCUCCUCGUAGAGCAUCUCACCACGCGGCAGCUGACCUCAUCAUAGUGAAUAAACAAGAACGACAAAGAGACUGUGACCAAGAUGGAAGUUACUGUCUUUUGUAAACUAAUGUUGAAUUUGAUGUCCCAUCACUUUGACUGUAUUCUAGUCAUUAGAAGCAAGUUAUUAGGUCCAGUGCCUACUGAAGGGAAGGGGAUUACACAAGAAUAUGAGCACCAGGAAAUGGGAACACGGGAGCCAUUUUAGAAACUGCCAACCACAUUUGACUUUCAAUUAGUGUUUGUUGAAUGGAUGGAUGGGUGAAUUUGGAUACAUGGAGAGAGGGAGAAUAGAGACAGGUAGGGGAAUACUGCUGUUAAGAAAUUGUUUCCUCAGUAUGCUGGAAAGCCAAGGGACAUGGGCAUCAAAAGGCUUGCCUCUUUCCACUUGUCACAUGCUUUAUUUUCAAGAUUGGUUAACUUCUACUCUGAUUCCAGCCUCCUCAUUCACCCACAAAUGCACAUGGGCAUGAGACAUACAGACAGGAAGACAAUUCAGUCUUCAGAGAGGUGAAGACGUUGGCAAGCUUACACACUGGGCUCAGAGGUUUGUAAGUUGCUUUCAGAGGAAAGGCUGGGGAAUUUGUUAAUUCGGGGAAAAGCACAUUUUUUCCCACUUGCACAACUCAAAUAAGGCUGAACACUCCCAUGCUGGAAUUUUCCAAACCAUUUCCAUUUCUCAGAUGGAGAGGAGGAAAUUUGGACAAAGCAAAGGCUUGUUUUUGAGGGAGAAAUGAGUUAUAUCUGUGGCAUACCUUUUGUGUGCUCAGCAUGAUCUUGCAUCUCAGGCCUAGAGAAGAAGUAAAGACACAAGAGGAACACCCAAGGUGGCUGCAGGGACCAAGCUAGCCUUAGGGAGAUGACAGUGAGACAAAGGGACAGCAUUGCCUCAAUGUGGUGUGCUGCUGGAGAUCAAGAAGAGGGGAUUCAUAGGGCUGACACAGGAAGGGAGAGGUUCUGGAAAUAGGUUGGUUAGAGCUUCACCUUUGAGUAUGAAAAGUGUUUGAAUAGGAGGGCAUUCUAGGCAAGGAGCAGCAUAGGAAAAAGGCUCAGAAGUGGGAAUUGGUGUGGUAUGACCAUGGGCAGAUAAAUAGGGCUGAAUAAAUGGAAGGUGUAUGUACAUGGUGACAACUAAGAAAAUGAUGAGAGUCUGAGGGGCAGGAGCUUCCUGAGUUUAGGAGGUGGGGUUAGUGAGAGUAGUCUUGGAAGGGAAAUGAGGAAAGUACUAAAGUUCGGGGGGUAGUUGGCUCAUCACUGGACCCAGGGCUGAAUAGCCCCCAGGAACAAUCUGUGGUGGGGCCGUCAUCACGCCUUCCUCAUGUCAGAGCUGCUGAGGAACACAAGUGGGUCUUGGUGACAGCUGCCAGGGGAUCAACAAAGUUCACCUGGAUUCUUUGUGGUCUGCUCUCAGGGAAAAAAUCCACCACAGAGAGAUAAGGUAGGGUCCCACUAGAACUUCUUGUGACUCCCCCCCUUCCUCGUCUAGUUCCACCCACAUCCCCUUCCAUUCUCCUUGUCCCCAUUCUCUGCUUAAUUUCUGUGCACUGCCUUUAUAGCUGUCUGGCACUUUGUGUAUUUACUUAUUUGUCUUGCAUAUGGCCUGUUUUUCCCACCGCAAUAUAAGCUCCAUGAGGGCCGGGAUUUCCAGGUGAGUGCUGGGCGCAUGAGAAAACACUCAGUGUCUAUUGAAUGGAAGAGGCCUUGUUACAAAGUGAUAAACCGUGCUUAUAAAGAGCUCCAUCUGGUUAGGAAGCCGGGAUAAUAGAUUUGCUUCUUUGCCCACAGUCAGAGCCCCUGCGUCCGUAUAUGGUGCACCUUUACCUGCAGAGAAGAGCUCGUCCUUGCUGGGAACAGCCUCCACCUCAGUCUGGACACCAGGGAAAGCCGCAGGUGACACAGCCUCCCUCAGGGUCACACUGAUGCCCCUGCUUUGACUCACCGGAACACCUCAACUCCCCCAGCCUCCGAAUUCAGGGCUCCUGCACCAGCCUGCCUCUAUCCCCUCUGGAUGCCUAUAGGAGUUCCAUCUUCUCCGUUCCCUUCUGCCAGCCUCGAUGGGUGCCAGACUGCCUCUGUGUGAGACCCUGGCUGGGAAGGGCAGGCAGGACUGGGCUUUUCUCUCCUCCAUAUCCACUCCCAGCCCCAACAGGCACCAGGAAAAAGGGUUGUUGGUGGUGUUUCAGAGGCUCCAUGACCCCAUAAAAUAUGCUUCAUUUUUCUCAGAAAAUGAGCCAUUUUUUCCCUCUUAUGUUUUCAUAUGGUGCCCAGAAGUCCCUGGAUUUCCUGGAAUUUAUAUGAAGAAUUCCAGCUAUUUCAGCUGUAGUUUUCACACACAGAGCUCCUGCCAAC
rnacentral:lncRNA from 1 species